GACAGAGGGGGCAAGCGUUGCUCGGAAUUACUGGGCGUAAAGGGCGCGUAGGCGGGAUGGCAAGUCGGUCGUGAAAUCCCUCGGCUCAACCGAGGAACGUCGAUCGAUACUGCUGUUCUUGAGGAUUGCAGAGGAGACUGGAAUUCCCGGUGUAGUGGUGAAAUGCGUAGAUAUCGGGAGGAACACCUGUGGCGAAGGCGGCCGACUGGGCCGACCCUGACGCUGAGGCGCGAAGGCGUGGGGAGCGAACAGG
rnacentral:rRNA from 1 species